rnacentral:rRNA from 1 species
GACGAACGCUGGCGGCGUGCUUAACACAUGCAAGUCGAACGAAAAGAGGGAAAGAGCUUGCUCUUUCCGGAAUUGAGUGGCAAACGGGUGAGUAACACGUAAACAACCUGCCUUCAGGAUGGGGUCAACAGACGGAAACGACUGCUAAUACCGAAUACGUUCCAAGAGGCGCAUGGCCCAUGGAAGAAAAGGUGGCCUCUACCUGUAAGCUAUCGCCGGAAGAGGGGUUUGCGUCUGAUUAGCUGGUUGUAGGGGUAACGGCCCACCAAGGCGACGAUCAGUAGCCGGUCUGAGAGGAUGAUCGGCCACACUGGAACUGAGACACGGUCCAGACUCCUACGGGAGGCAGCAGUGGGGAAUCUUCCGCAAUGGGGGAAAGCCUGACGGAGCAACGCCGCGUGAGAGAUGACGGCCUUCGGGUUGUAAAACUCUGUGUUCCGGGACGAAAAGGCAGAGUGCGAAGAACAAACUGCAUGGACGGUACCGGAAAAGCAAGCCACGGCAAACUACGU